rnacentral:rRNA from 1 species
AUUGAACGCUGGCGGCAGGCCUAACACAUGCAAGUCGAACGAGUGGCGGACGGGUGAGUAAUGUCUGGGAAACUGCCCGAUGGAGGGGGAUAACUACUGGAAACGGUAGCUAAUACCGCAUACCAUCGGAUGUGCCCAGAUGCGAUUAGCUUGUAGGUGAGGUAACGGCUCACCUAGGCGCCGAUCCCUAGCUGGUCUGAGAGGAUGAACAGCCACACGGGAACUGAGACACGGUCCAGACUCCGACGGGAGGCAGCAGUGGGGAAUAUUGCACAAUGGGCGAAAGCCUGAUGCAGCGAUGCCGCGUGUAUGAAGAAGGCUUUCGGGUUGUAAAGUACUUGCAUCGGGGAGGCGUUACCCGCAUAAGAAGCACCGGCUAACUACGUGCCAGCAGCCGCGGUAAUAC